AGACCUCAGGAACAUCUCAAAUAAUGCCUCCUAUCUGUAUACCAGACUCUUGAUGCUAGAUGUCAAGGCAGAGCAACGAUUUACUGUUUUAAAACAAAGGACCUCUUCCUCAGGAGACAUAAACUGUGAGACUGUGGACUGGUGAUUCAACUUGCUGAGUGGUGGUCCUUUGAGCUUUCUUCUCUCCAAAGAAUUGCGACAAAAAUACAUGCUAUAAACUUGAAACACAGGAGAGCAUUCAAGACCAUUAAGUCCAUUCCUGUUCUGCUCAGCACUUUCAUGUGAAGGCACAUGCUAGCUUCCUCGACUGCAAUGCAAUCCAAAUGCAGGCUUAAAGAUCCGACAAUGCAAGUGUUGCAUCGAACUAUGAACUUGUGGAUUUUUCUUCUGGGCUCAGCUGCUCAUCUCACUUCAAUCCCUUCAGCAAAAACUGAAAUCUUGGAUUGCAGACCACAACUCGUUAGUCAUUUCUUGUGGCUCAAUAUCACCUUCAGCAUGAUCCAAACCACAAAUCAUAUCAGACGUACUUGUGAAUGUGCAGAAGAACUGGACACCACAUGCUACACAGAUAUGAUGCUUCUUGGAAAAUGCAGCAAUGCUCCUUGGACUCGCGCGUGGCUGCACUGCAGUCCUGCAGGACAGAAAACCUGCUCUUGCCAGCACAGCGCUCACAUACAGCACGCUUACAUAGGCUGUUAUAUUCCUAGGGAAGAGUGA
rnacentral:lncRNA from 1 species